CAGCCCCUAGAAGCUGGAGUUACAGAAAGACUAACACAAAGAUGUACACUCAGUGCCCCUUUUCCUCAUAUUGAGGGAAGAAGACUGUGCUGUAUGGACAGGUGAUUCUGAUGCACCUUAACAAGUGAGAACCAUUGGGCUGAAAUGAGAAGGGGACAUAAUCUAAUCUGAUUAGUCACCUUUCUGUGGUGGACACAACGUUGAGGCACAAGAGUAAGUGUCCAGGUGAGAAGCCGCCACGGCAACAGUGGGGAUGUAGAGGCUUUCCCACAUGGCAUGAAUAACUUGAGCCCUCCUUUCUGCAACCUGAACGGUCUCUGAAUCACUGCGUGAACCAGAGAAUGGACAAGCUGAGGACUAGAACAAAUGUUUGAAGAUAAAGUUCCUGGGGGCACAGAGAGGCUGUCUCCCUGACAGAGGCUCGUGAGCUCCUGCCUUCCAUCCUCCAUCUGUGUGAGCCUUUCAACAGCUGCUCCCUGCAUUCAUGUCUCCAUCUCGGAGACUUAAAAAGCCUCAGAGAGUUUCUGUGAACUACUUGUAAGAAUUCAUCAAGGACCAGCAGGCAGUCCUGAAGUUCUGAUAAAUAAAGCAGGUCCAAGGGCAGU